GCACAAAUGUGGGUCAGCAUUUGCAUUCGCUGUAAGAUACGGGCCGAUUCAUUGAUCGAAGAGCAGCCAGAGAAAGAGCUGCAUCUUUGUCUCGCCCACACACGACCUGCUGUAUGGUGCUGUCAAUCGAUGCUUUCAGAACAAACAAAAUGUUUAGAUGAAACUGCUGCACCCACUCUGAGAGAUCCGGUUGGCUUGCAGGGUGUUGCCCACAGCGGAGCCUAUCAUAUGCGCGUGCUUAUCCUUAAAAAAAAAACUUGUAGUCAAGAUAACAAAACACAAGUUACGAAAUCUCCUCUUGCCCUUGACGCAUGUGAACUUGUUGUGACUUUAGGCAUUGAAAAGGAGUGAAGUUUUUUGCACUGAAAUGAGGCAUGAGCAUAAGAAGUGAAACCAAGAGGUGCAACAUCCUGUUGGCAAGAGGAAGUCACAUGCUUUCUCUGAACAUUGAGAAACACUUCAACUCCCAGUAACCACUCAGGAGCACUAAAAGAGAACAUUUCACAGUGAAAUCUUUACACUCUUUCAUUGUUGACUUUGUGUUUUUGAGGGGGCCAUCUUUAAAGAUCAGAAAGCCAGAUGCCUGAAUCGGAGCUGGCUUCAGUCCAGUUCAGAGACAUUGCAGCAGCUCUUCUGUAAGGUUUCUCACUUCCACUGACAAAAGUGUGACCUUGGUUGUCGUAGCAACAGCUGCCCUCUUGCAAAGCAUUUGGAAAAACUCUUUAAUGCCUCCUUUGAUGCUCGGUACAAAGAUUAAUCAAAGUAAUUAAUAUAUGACCACUCCAGUGUAUUAAAGUACUUACUCCCCUCACCAUCAAUAUCUGUAGCCAAAAGGAAGAAAUUAAAAGAGAAGCGUAACAAAGUGUA